UGCGUAGGUGGCUGAGCAAGUCGUAGAUGAAAUCCCCGGGCUUAACUCGGGAACUGUCUCCGAAACUGCUCAGCUUGAGGAUGGUUGAGGAAAGCGGAAUUCCCGGUGGAGCGGUGAAAUGCGUAGAUAUCGGGAGGAACACCAGAGGCGAAGGCGGCUUUCUGGGCCAUUCCUGACACUGAUGCACGAAAGCUAGGGGAGCGAACG
rnacentral:rRNA from 1 species